rnacentral:rRNA from 1 species
UAUUGCACAAUGGGGGAAACCCUGAUGCAGCGACGCCGCGUGAGUGAAGAAGCAAUUCGUUGCGUAAAGCUCUAUCAGCAGGGAAGAAGAAAUGACGGUACCUGAAUAAGAAGCCCCGGCUAACUACGUGCCAGCAGCCGCGGUAAUACGUAGGGGGCAAGCGUUAUCCGGAUUUACUGGGUGUAAAGGGAGCGUAGACGGCAGUGCAAGUCCGAUGUGGAAACCCGGGGCUCAACCCUGGGAGUGCAUUGGAAACUGUACGGCUGGAGUGCAGGAGAGGUAAGCGGAAUUCCUGGUGUAGCGGUGAAAUGCGUAGAUAUCAGGAGGAACACCAGUGGCGAAGGCGGCUUACUGGACUGUAACUGGCGUUGAGGCUCGAAAGCGUGGGGAGCAAACAGG